UACGUAGGGGGCUAGCGUUGUCCGGAAUCAUUGGGCGUAAAGCGCGUGUAGGCGGCCCGGUAAGUCCGCUGUGAAAGUCGGGGGCUCAACCCUCGGAUGCCGGUGGAUACUGUCGGGCUUGAGUACGGAAGAGGCGAGUGGAAUUCCUGGUGUAGCGGUGAAAUGCGCAGAUAUCAGGAGGAACACCUAUUGCGAAGGCAGCUCGCUGGGACGUGACUGACGCUGAGGAGCGAAAGCGUGGGGAGCGAACAGG
rnacentral:rRNA from 1 species